rnacentral:rRNA from 1 species
GACGAACGCUGGCGGCGUGCCUAAUACAUGCAAGUCGAGCGCAGGAAACUGACGGAACUCUUCGGAGGGAAGGCAGUGGAAUGAGCGGCGGACGGGUGAGUAACACGUAAGGAACCUGCCUCAAGGAUUGGGAUAACUCCGAGAAAUCGGAGCUAAUACCGGAUAGUUCAUCGGACCGCAUGGUCCGUUGAUGAAAGGCGCUUCGGCGUCACCUUGAGAUGGACUUGCGGUGCAUUAGCUAGUGGGUGAGGUAACGGCUCACCAAGGCAACGAUGCAUAGCCGACCUGAGAGGGUGAUCGGGCACACUGGGACUGAGACACGGCCCAGACUCCUACGGGAGGCAGCAGUAGGGAAUCUUCCGCAAUGGACGAAAGUCUGACGGAGCAACGCCGCGUGAGUGAUGAAGGCUUUCGGGUCGUAAAACUCUGUUGUUAGGGAAGAACAAGUACAAGAGUAACUGCUUGUACCUUGACGGUACCUAACCAGAAAGCCACGGCUAACUACGUGCCAGCCGCCGCUGUAACAC